AAAUACUCAAACCAUUAUGUACAGUAAAACGUACAAAUGCCUUCCACUUGAAGUUGCUGCUAGAAAAUGAAUAUUUGCGGUUAGUCUUGUAUUUUCGUACUCUUUGCCGACAGAUCUGCCAAAUGAUCAGGUGUCAUCAAUGGUCAUCACUAGAAAAGUUUGUUUUGAUCGGUUGGUUUUUUCGAUAGCGGCUUUUGUAAAUUCUUCAAUGUUUUAGAAAUAAUUCCGAGUGUUAAAAUAAUUAAAUGUGUUCGGGAAUUAAAUGUUAAAGUGAUUGAUAAAAGGAUUAUGCAAUCAAUUGCAGUUAUUAUACGAAAGACAGCAACUACGAACAGAGGAGACAUUAUAAAGAGGAAUUCAACAAUCUUUGUCCGGAAUAUAAACAAUUAUAAAAAUACGUUAACAGUAAAAGUCGAUAUUAUAAGUGGCAGCAGCAAUAUAAUAUAGUGAAAGCUCAGGGGAAUUUUCAAGAACUCAAGAUAAAAAUAAAAAUUUUUAAAGAUUACAAUAUGAAUAACGAUCCGGUCUUCAAGCAACGUAACACGAGACACGAUUAUUUGCAUGGAAAAUUGACUCACUUAAAGAAUUUGGUCGAAGAAUUUGAUACGAAGCAUUUCGGUGUUAAUGGUAACAAGACAAGAUUUUGAAGAAGAAAAAUAUUUGUUUAAUUGAAAAUUGUUGGAUAGAAAAUUAAUUUGGCUUAAUAUAUAAAAUAUGAAAAAAAUUUAAUAAACAUUAAUAGAUUUAAAGAAGUUAAUUUCAGAAAUAAAUAAAAAAAGAACAAUAAACGAAAUUAAACACAAGAAAAUAC